CUAGCCUUCACAGGCCUGCAGUUUUGAGCUAACUGCACAAGUGUGACGCUCCCUGUGCUUGAACACUUCUGGCUGGCCAUGGGGAUCCUAGGCAAAAGCAAAGAUUGGCUGGAUUCCUUUCUGACUGCUUUAACCACUAGUCUUGAGACUAGGGGGAGAGCUUUGCUCCACCCUCUGUGCUGAGGUUUAGAGGCUGCUUUGAGCUGGCAGAGGGGGAAGUGAACUUGCAAGCUUGAGCUCCCUCUUUCCAGGCACUACGUGGGCACCCUGUGAAGGCGAGAGCGUGACAUGGUCCUGCUUUUCCUGGCAGCCUUGUUGGCACUGUCAGACUUUGGUGAGAUGUGACUUUGAGGCAGGGCAAGCUAGGGUCAAGAUGGCAUCCCAUCAUUUCUGGAGGGGGGAAAUUGGAGUCCUGCCUCCCUGGAAGAACUAGAAGUGUUUUCUGUAGGGAGAGCAGGGGCUGCAGACCAGUACAGGAGACAGUCUGGGAGAUGUCAGGAGCAACGAGUGUACAGGGAUGAAUAAGCAUCUGCACUUUUCCUUCUGCACAUCCUCAGAGAGGAAGAGUCCCAUGUUGGGCCAGGGUCUCCCUGCACAGGGGAGUGAUUUUUACUCUUGUAAUUAGGAUACUACACAGUGAGUUCAUAUUAGAAUACGUCUAAUCUUUGUGUUUAGCUGUCUAUUCAAAUUGCAUUGCUAGGUGAUAUAUUCAAAAGUCAAAUGGAGCCAAACUCUCAAAGAAAAAGGGAAUAGCAUAGGCUUUUUUUUUUUUUUUUUUUUUUUUUCCUGAAGCUGGGAACCCUGAUUUAUGGAGCUGUACUGGGACUGCCUGGGAUAGAAUUAACGAUCCCUACAGCAGUCCCUAGCAUGCUGUACUCUGUACUUGGAGCUAGAACUCCACUGCCAUCGCUCCAAUGUUUGAGUAGUUAUGGAGCAGUGCUGUCACAGCAUCAAGACUCUUUCUUCAACCCCUCCAAAGCCAGGAAGUGGAGGGUGGGCAAGAGGAGGGAGGGGACAUCGCCAGGUGUCUGCAGGGCUUGGAGAGUCAUUCGUUUGGGUGUCUGAGAAUUCCACAUUUGAGGUGUGCUGAGGGAGGUAUGGGGGGAGACAAUGCAACUAGCCAGGCACAGCCUAGCCAGACAAGGUGUUAGGGGUGGUGAUAGAGGGAGCCCAAGCAUCAGGGAAGCAGAAACUGCCAGGGAUGUGGCCCUGGGUGGGUGCCCCCUGUGGCCCAUCAUUUUAAAUGCAUGUGACCCACUGAACCCACAUCCUUUUCCCUGCUGACUCCUCACCCCUCGCCCUAUGGAACAGGUUGUCCUUGUCCCCUCUGGGCUUGUGCCAUCCAACACCCCAGUGGAGCCCCGUUCCUCUUGCAAAUGCUAGGUUAUCCCACCAGAACAGGACACAGCCAGAAACCCUGGGCUGCUGCAUAGCAUGAUUCCUCCCUUCUUUCUGGGGAUGUGGGAGAGAAAUCAAAGUGUCUUGUCCUCCCACAGGAAACAGGAACAUCCCCAUGGAGCUGAGGACCCCAGGUGAAGGUGCACAAUCUCAGUGGAGAAGACUGCCCUGAUAUCAACCAUGUCCUAGCAGUGUGUGUGAAGAAGAGAAGGCAGAUGUAGCUGGGGAGGUGAGGACCCCACUGGGAGAGGAGACGAGAGCAGCCCCUGCACAUGAUGCGGCUCCCAGAGUUCCCCUGACUGUGACAAUCCUCAGAGGUUGCUCCUGCUGGAGGAGGGAGAAACCCCAGGGAGCAUUUGGGGCACAGUCAGACCAGAAUAUAUCUUGUCACUGAAUCUGCCCUUGUUCCCCCAGCAGAGUCAUUUCCGGCAGCUCUGUUCUCUUGGGGCUGGGAGGUGCUUUUCUGACUCUCCCUCCCGCAGUAAACAGGAGGGUCAGUCUCAGCAUGCACCGUGGGUAUCUCGUCUUCACUGCCUUCCUGGAGCUCCUGCUGGAUGCCAUGGGGCAGACCUCCGUCACCCAGCAAGAAGGACAAGUCACCGUGAAACAGAAAGAAACGUUCCAGACCACUUGCACGUAUCAAAUCCCCAGCUUAUAUGCUUUGUACUGGUACCAGCAGAAGAAGGGACAAGCCCCUCAGCUGGUCAUAUAUCACACCAGUGCAGGCACCAAGCAGAGUGGCCGUUUCACCAUGGAGCUGAACACUGAGAGGAAAUCCAGUGUUCUGCGGCUGAAGGAAGUCGAGCUCUCUGACAGCGCCUUGUACCUCUGUGCUGUGCGUGACACCCUGGUGCAGGGAGCUACACUGGCUGUGCAACAACCCCGGAUGGGGAGGGGAUGUAUGUGUGCAAGGCAGAGCUCUGGGAUGGGGCCCUCUUCUCUCUUUUGGCUGACUGCUUCCCCUGUGCACUCCGAGAUCUGCCAGCCAGAUCCUCUUUCCCAAUGGGACUGGUGUCAGUGGCUUGAAAGGAAGGAGAAGGUGGUGAAAGAGGCCCUGCCCUCAAGGUGUUCUCCCUGUGGGAGGGCUGAAUGAUGACAGUGGAGUACUGGCACUGCCUGAAGCAGGGCUCAUUGCGGCUGCUGACCAGUGAGGUUAGGCCACUGGGCCAGCACAGCAUGCACUGGUCAUACAGCGACAUGUCUUAAGGCUGCAGGUGAACCUGGGAGAGAGGGCAGGUAGGAAGAAGAGCACAGGGAAAAGUGAGGAGCAAAAUGUCUUCAUUCAGACAUGAUCCAAAAAGAGUGGUUAGGACCAAUAA